rnacentral:rRNA from 1 species
UACGUAGGUGGCAAGCGUUGUCCGGAUUUAUUGGGCUUAAAGGGUGCGUAGGCGGUCUAUUAAGUCAGCGGUGAAAUACUCCAGCUUAACUGGAGGGGUGCCAUUGAUACUGAUGGACUUGAGUCAAGUCGAGGUAGGCGGAAUUGACGGUGUAGCGGUGAAAUGCUUAGAUAUCGUCAAGAACACCAAUAGUGAAGACAGCUUGCUGGGCUUAAACUGACGCUGAGGCACGAAAGUGUGGGGAUCAAACAGG